CAAGAGGUUCGACCCGAGCGAAGCGAGAGAACGUUGCGUCAGCAACGGCCCGCAGGGCGAGCCACGCAGUGGCGAGU
rnacentral:sRNA from 1 species